UCACUGGGACAUUAUUCUAGUGGCGGGAUAAGUUCAAGAAGACUCCGGUUCAUCCCCUGUGGAUUCUUUAUGUCUGAACAUCACUUCACGUCUGAGAGCAGCUCAAUUCUGGAUAAGAGGACAUCAUAAAGCAUCGUUGGUUGUCGCCCACGAUGACGCACCACGAGACAUUAAACAACUGCUGGUGGCCUGUUUCUGGACCCUGGUGCCGAACGUCUUCUGGGGGACUCAAUGCAAUCAGUCCCAGAGGGUUCUUUGUUGCGGUGAGAAAUCUAAACGGUGUGGAUUGUUUGUGACUGGAUCUAAACCCUAACCCGACUCCACGGGCAGAUACAUUACCGGCCUUUCAUUACACCUGUCUGUGGCUCCUGGUGAACGGUCGCUGCUUCCAGCUAAAGCAAAGGGCAGACUGAGGGGAGGCGUCCAGGAAGCUGACACACAAGACACUAAUGCUGCCUCUGGCUUUUGUCUCCUUUAAGGGCCACUGACAUUUGGUAUUUGUUGGGAAACCGUUUGUGUACA